rnacentral:lncRNA from 1 species
GGCUAUCUCACCCCUGCCCAGCCCCAGGCCGGCUCACCUGCCCUCGGACUCCAGCCGGACCUCUCCCCCUUGCACCCCUGGCAUGCAUGAUUGUGCUGCCCACCGUCUGCCCCGUGCCUCGCAGAAACUGGCGCGAGGAGGGAGAAGCUUGGCUACUGGUGCCUAAGCUCCGUGGGCUCUGGGCCUUGGCCCAGCGGUGAGAACUCAGGUGUAGGAGGAAGAGGAGGAAGGCGGAAAACCCUCCAACCCUGUCCUCGCCGUCUUUCCUCAGGGUCUCCCACCCACUCCUCCCUUUCUCUUCCCUGUUGUCUUUCCCUCUUUUUCCGGUCUCCGAGCCUCAGGCAGCUUUAGCCUGGUUCCCUGUAGAGCCCUAGCAGGGUCGGGGAGACACUUCGAUCCUUCGUCCUCACUUUGCAGAACGGGACACCGAGGCCCGGGGCGGCGGCGCUGCCUCGGCUGCACCUGGAUCAUUUGCGCCCGCGUUGGCUCCCUUUGCUCUCCUCUGCCUUAGACUUUUCUGCGGACUGGUGCUGAGUGUUGCCCAACCGCGCCGAGAUCUGGGCGCCGGUCUCUCGAUCUGGACUCGGUUUGGCUCGUCCUCCUCUGUAAUCGCGUGUCUUUAGGCUCCAGCAGGGCCCGGGGCCACACUUCCCCACUCCCACCGCUAACUUGGGGAUCAGUGACUCUCCCAUUGCUGACUAGCAGGGCGAGGCAUUUUUAUUUUCUGCGAAACGCGAUGAGGGCGGGGAUGCUAUGAUAUUGAGGCUGGGGUCGCAGCGCAGCAGCUGCCGGCCAUAGGGCCAGGGGUCUCCGUGGCGAGCGAAGGCUCAUCUCCCCGCGGAACGCGACCGCAGGCUUGCGGUGUGGCCGCCCUGGAAUGUUGGCGCCGUCGUGUCCCUGUCCCCCUUUCGUCGCCAGCUGAGGUGCAGGUCUUGCUCAAGAAGGCGCUUCGACCUGAAAGCAGGCCUUUCAGGAGAAAUGGCUUGAGAAAGACAUGUUGAAGAGGAAAAAUACGUUAAGGAUUUUCCCCAUGUGCAGGUGCUUCAUCAUCACAUGAUCUCAUUUAAUCUUCACAACAUCCCUGAGGUAUGUUGUCUUCAAUCCCCCUUUGGCAAAAGAGGAAAUGGAAGCUCUGGUUAAAACUUGGUGAAGAUAACACAGCUUAGCAGGAAACCCUGAGCUGUCUGACUCUCAAGCCUGUGUUGGGAAAUCCUGCCCUGUGCUGCCUCUUGUUGCAGAGAUCCUAUCUGGAUAAAGUGCUGGGUAACCAGGAAUCAGAACCUCUGGAGGACGAGUAUGACUUCUUUUCUGUCCCUGCUGCUCGAGUUCAAACCCUCACCAUCCUCUCCUCCUCUUCCCUGUUCUUGCUCUGUACCUCCACUCCGUCACUGAGUCUUGACACUUUGGCCCAGUGUCCCCCCUUGCACCCCUGCCUUUUCAUUCUUACCCUUGUUGCCACACACCUGGGGCACUGCCGUAGCUGGCAGCUCCCUUUCUCACCAGUCUUUCCCUUUUCCAUCUUUUCCACUAACCCUGCCAGACUCAUCUUCCUUUAACACUGCUUUGUCCUAUUUCAUUAAAAAUAUCCCAGGGACUCAUGAGAUAAAGUCAAGACUCAGUGCUUGACCUGACACAGCCCCCAGUCCCCCCAGGUAGACCUCAAAGCUUCUACAUUCGUUCUUUUUCACGCUGCUGAUAAAGACAGACUUGAGACUGGGCAAUUUACGAAAGAAAGAGGUUUGUUGGACUUAUGGUUCCAUAUGGCUGGGGAGACCUCACAAUCACAGUGGAAGGCAAGGAGGAGCAAGUCAUGUCUUACAUGGAUGGCAGCAGGCAAAACAGUUUGUGCAGAGAAACUCCCAUUUUUAAAACCAUCAGAUCUUGUGAGACCCAUUCACUAUCAUGAGAACAGCAUGGGAAAGACCCAUCCCCAUGAUUCAAUCACCUCCCACCAGUUCCUCCCAUGACAUAUGGGAAUUAUAGGAAUUGUGGGAGUUACAAUUCAAGAUGAGAUUUGGGUGGGGACACAGUCAAAACAUAUCAACUCCUUUCCAGCCUUGCCCAUCACUUCCUGCAAUAACUUGAUGUUGCCUGGGAUUUUCUGACUUCAGCAUCUUUGCUCAUGAGGUAUCUUCUACCUAGAAUGUGACCUUCCCACCCAACCUCCCCUCUGCUAAAAAUCUCAUCAUGGUCUGCCUGAAGUGGCCUGUCUUUAAUGAAGCUUUCUCCAGUCACCUUGCAGGAAUGAUCCCCCCACCUUGAACACUUUGAAACACUUAAACAGUACUUCUCAUAUGUUGCUUCACUGUAAUUAUUUGAGUGCCAACAUUUCCUCCCUAUAUACCAAUGUGAUGAUGGAACCCAUGUGUGUGUAUCCCCCACUGUGGUCAUUAGCAUAGUGCCUUAUAUGUAGUGGUCCCUUUGUUGCAUGUAAACUAAUGAACAGUGAAAAGCAAAUAAUAAGAAAUAAAUCAUUUAUUGUUUCCCAUGUGUCAGACAGUAUUCUUAGUGCUAUUCAAAGUAAUAAUUUAAUUCUCGCAAUAACCCUAAGAGGUAGAUGAUAUUGUGUCUCCAUUAUAGAGAUGAAGAAGCGAAGGCAUGGUGAGCUGAGCUGGUCAAAGAAUUAGUGAUUGACCCAGGAUUCAAAUCUGAGCAAUCUGCCUCCAGGACCUAGACUCCCGCUGUAGGUAGCUUUCCAGCACUCU